rnacentral:misc_RNA from 1 species
GAUGAAGAACGUAGCGAAAUGCGAUAAGUAAUGUGAAUUGCAGAAUUCAGUGAAUCAUCGAAUUUUUGAACGCACAUUGCGCCCAUUAGUAUUCUAGUGGGCAUGCCUGUUCGAGCGUCAUUAAGUCCACUUAAGCCCUGCUUAGUGUUGGGAGACUGCUCCAGCGGUGCUACCCUGUAGCUACCCUGCAGCUCCUCAAAGACAGCGGCGGAGUUGUGGUAUCCUCUGAGCUUAGUAACUUGUUCUAGCUUUCGAGUACACCACUUCCCCUGCCGUAAAACCCUUAAUUUUUAAUGGUUGACCUCGGAUCAGGUAGGAAUACCCGCUGAACUUAAGCAUAUCAAUAAGCGGAGGA